AACGCACAUUGCGCCCCCUGGUAUUCCGGGGGGCAUGCCUGUCCGAGCGUCAUUACAACCCUCAAGCUCAGCUUGGUGUUGGGCCCCGCCGCCCCGGCGGGCCCUAAAGUCAGUGGCGGUGCCAUCCGGCUCCGAGCGUAGUAAUUCUUCUCGCUCUGGAGGUCCGGUUGUGUGCCUGCCAUCAACCCCCAAUUUUUUUCAGGUUGACCUCGGAUCAGGUAGGGAUACCCGCUGAACUUAA
rnacentral:misc_RNA from 1 species